ensembl:lncRNA
GCCGCCGCGCGCCCCUCCCUGAGCGCCGCUCUGUGUGAGUGUAAGUGUGUGCGCGCGCGAUCGGGUCGCCAGCAAGCCGGGGCCGCCUAGGCACUGGGUUUCUUUCCGCGUCCUAGCUCCCCUCCGGAUGGGUCGCCCAAGACAGGGUGCGCAGAGACCCCACCCCGGAACCGCAUGGUAGUGACGGGGAAGGAGCGAGAACCCUGGCACCUGCAGGAGGAACUAGAGUGGCGGGCGAGAACUCGGGUCCCCGGGCCCUGCCUGCUAGCGGUUUCCCCUACCCCUGGAGAAUUUCUGCGUGUGAGAGGCAGAGGGGGCGUGCUUCAUGCCUGGAUGAAAAAGCUAAUACAUGUGGUCCCAUCACAGCAAUUCUUCCCAUAACAUAGUUCAUUUAAAACUUUGGUGUUUAAAAUCACCACCACCAGAAACCAGCCACUUAUCUUUGGCGCCGGUCUGCACGCGUGCUAGCCCCCUGCCCACUUGCUGGCCGAGAACCUCCAGUCUCUGCAUCGGAAGUUUAGUGUUUGUUUCCUUUAACACCUUACCCCCUUUCGAAAUGCGCAGUUCACUAUUUAAGUUAUUAUUAUUACUAUUUUCCUCCUUUAGGUGUUGUUGUUGUUUUGAGUUUCCUGUUCACUCUACCCUCACGGUUAGGAAGCCUAGUUACAGACACGUGGAAGGAUGGGUGGCACAGGAAGGGGUCACGGUGAUGUGGGGACUGCCAUAGUGAGGCUCGUAGGGAAGACUUAAAAGGACCAGAUGGGGUACUACAGUUUUCAUUUUUUACUUUGUUUUUCAAAAAGAACAUUACAACUGUCCAUGCAAGGAGAAUGAGGCUUUUUAGAGAGGUUGUUGAUAAGGUCUUGUGUCCAGCUCUUAAUAGCCCUUAUCGUAGGAUGCUUAAGGCUCUUAUAUAUGCUUGAGAGAUUUGAACCCCACCCCUGCAGCUCUUGCUUCUCUCUGCUGGUUAGUCAAAGUCUUGGGUGUCUCUCCCUGUAGAUCCUUUGGAAGUUUCAGAUUAUUUCCAGUUGAAACAGCAGGCAGCUAUUUACAUGAAACUCACUAGGAGGAAGACAACUUCCUGAGUAUGGAACCUGAGUUGCUAUUACAGAGAACUUUCCAACUCACCUGGGUUUCCUUGGAGAUCUGCUACUGUGUUGAUGGAAGUUCCACCUUAACUUUGGAAUCCUUUUAUUUCUCAAAAUAGCCCCAGUGUCUGCUCUUGCCUCUCUCUUUUUCCCUUCAAUUCUUGAAAGCUGUAGAAUAGAUAGAGUUUGUAGGAGGAGAGAGACAGAAGACUGAAUCUGAUUUCAGUUGCUGGUAAUUGCAUUGUUAAUGGCACCUCUGGGUGCCUUGCUGGGGAUAGUAUUUGGCUUGUGUGUUGGACAGUCACCUUUAAUGCUCCCCCACCCCCCACCAAGUUUAUGAGGCCAACAGAGCUUUUACCCUGGAUUACAGUUAUUUUACUUGGGGAUGGUAUUUUACCUGCAAUGUAUAUUAAAGGAUUUGUUUUUGGAGUGGAUUUAGGAGAAAUUGGAGUAACUCAUGCUUUUGGAUAAUUAAAUCCACUAGGCUAUUUAGGUUGAAGGCCAGAUUGUGAGGAGGCAAAAUUUAAAAUAAUAAUACCUACGUGAUUGCAGCCUACACAGGUUAAAUGUACUGUGUACACUGCUGAGGUUUCAUCUUUAUUGAGUUUGUUUGCUGUGGUUUAUAGCUGGCUGCCAAUGUUUAUUCUUAACACGGGAGACAUACCGGUUUUGAACUCUAUUACUGACUUCAAAAGCAUUGUCUCUAAUGGUAAAUGUCUCAGUGUCAGGGUUUGUUUCCCACAUCCAUGUUCUUCCAGCUGUGGCCGAGGGGCCAUUAGUGAAUGAUCUGAAGAAAAUCUCUGAUGGCUGUGAUGGCACACUUCUCCCUUCUCAAGGAAAGGGGAUUAUAAAGGGAGAUCUGGAUGAGUGACAGAGAAGAGGGAGGAGGACAAGGAAACUUUGAAAAUAUAUUCAUUUGCCCACUUAUUCAGAGAUUAACUUAUUGCGGGGCCCGCCCCCCCCCCAUGUGCCAGGCACUGUUCCAUCUAUUCUGGAGCUACUCCAGUGCUCAAAACAUAUGGACAUCUUCUCAUUAAGUAGGGGAGGAGUCACAGGCUUAAAAAGUGGAAGGAAAGUACCCUGGUGGCUUAGUGGUUAAGGAUUCGUAGUCAUUGCUCUGGCAUGGGUUCAAUUCCUGGCCCAGGAACUUCUGCAUACCAUGGUGGAAAGAAAGUGCAAGGACCCCCCCACCUCCUCAGUCCAGGGAAAUACCUUGGUGCAAGUAGGUGGGCUGAGUCAAGCUCCCUGCAUUUGGGGGCCCUGUGCAGUUCUUUUCAAAUCACCUGGAGUUAACAAUAAAUCUCCAGCAACGAAAUCCUUGCUGAGUGUUCCUACAUGGCCAGACUGUGGAUAACAUCCUUCACCAGCUCCUAGGACUUCACUCCAGUCAUCCACUAACAGUUUUUACUCUAGUGUAUGGAAGUUCCUGGGCCAGGGAUUGAACCCAUGCCACAACAGUGACAGUGCGGAAUCCUUAUUUCGCUAGGCCACCAGGAAACUCCUGUGUUCUGGUUUUGCAGAGGGAUUUUAGGCAGGGAGGUGACAUGGUUUGUUUUGUUUCAAGAGUUCACUCUGGUUACUAUGUGAAGAUGAGAUUUUUGAGGAGCAGGUCCAGACGCACAGAGAGCUCAGCAUGUUGGUCCAGGCGAGAGAUGUUGGGAGCUUGGACGUUAGGGAAAAGGGAAAAAGGUCCGAUCUGGAGGGAGGAGGGUAAAUGUUUCUGAUGGAUUGGGUGUGGAGAUGAGAGAAAGAAAAGGUCAAAGAUACCUCUUGAGUUUGUAGGCCGAGAGGCUGAGAAGUUGAGGCAUCCAUUAUGGAGACGAGGGUUACAGGGAGUGAACAUUUUUGUGGGUAGGAUGGGGGACAACCAAGAGUUCCAUCUGGGCUGUGUUCAGUCUGAGAGAUGUAGACCUAGUAAGGAUUUGAUCUUGUGAACUUUCAUUUACCCUAAGGCUAAUUUUAGUCUUAAGCCAAAAUGGACUGCUUUGGUGUUGCUUUUUUUGGUGGGGAGGAGGUGCUUCAUCUGUAGCAUAUGGAAGUGAUCAAAAUGGAAGUGACCAGGGGCAGUGAUCAAACCCACACCACAGCAGUGGCCCAAGCCGUUGUGUUGACCAUGCCAGAUCCUUAACCCGCUGAGUGCAGGAGAACUCCUGGGGUUGCUUUUAACGACAAGUGUUUGGGGAGAUAAUUUCUUUUCUUUUCUUUCUUUCUUUUUCUUCCUUUCUUUUCCUUCCCUCCUUCUUUCCUUCCUUCCUUCUUUCUUUCACUUGCCUUUUAGGGCCACACCUGCUGCAUAUGGAGGUUCCCAGGCUAGGGGUUGAAUCAGAGCUUCAGCUGCUGGCCUACACAGCAACACCAGAUCUGAGCUGCAUCUGUGACCUAUGCCAUAGCUCACCACAGUGCUGGAUUCUUAACCCACUGAGCAAGGCCAGGGACCAGUCUCUCGUCCUCAUGGAUACUGGUUGGGUUCGUUUCUCCUGCACUACAGCAGGAACUCCACGGGGAGAUAAUUUCUCACUGGGUCUAGGAAGUGAUAUUUAAAUCUUCGAGCAUUUUCAUUGCCAUUCAGUUUUUGAUAUUUGGAGAAAAGAAGACAUUGCAAAUAUGGAAACAGCCUGUAAUUCUUUUUCAGGCUAUUGGCGGAGUUGUAAGAAUUCAGUAAAACACUGAAAGGCAUGUUUGAGUAGGAUAAAGAUGAGUGUUGGCAGAAGAAAACCUCAGGCCACCAGUGGACAUUUAUUUGGAAUUUAGAGCAGCAUAGACUUUGGGUCAAGACCUGACAUCAGUAUUUACCACACCUGUCACCUGGGCCAGUGCCCGAAUGGCCCUGGACUUCCAUUUUCCCGUCUGUUAAAUGUCGAAGAUGGUGUUCCCCCAACCCUUCGCAUUAGUUCAGUGUGAGCAUUACAUGAAGACAUCAGGGUAGAAGGGACUGAGAAGAGCAGGAUUCUGGGAAGUAGGAGCUAUUUAUUGGAUCUUCAAUUUGCCUCUUUAAAUGGACCCUUUCUGAUCCAUGAAAUUUUUGGUCUGUUUUUUGAAUGCUGUGAUUACGCUGGACCCCCAUUCACAUAAUUAUCUCAAAGGUCUUCGGAGGAGAGAUGAUGAGUUCUUUGAGGGGAGAGAGAUCAUUGAAAACUUGGAACCAGACAUUUCCAUCUCUGUGCAAAGUGACUUCUUUCCCUCCUCCAGCCUCUAGUCUCCCUCUCCCUUCCUUGCUUUUUCUCCUUUACAUUUACCACCAGCUGACAUGCUCCGUCGUUUACUCUUUUGUAUUUCUGGGAGCUUUUGUCUCUCUAGGUGUUAGCUCCCUGAAGACAGAGAAUACUUUUUGCAUGUCUUGUUCACUGUUGUAUCCCUAGUGUCUAGUACAGGGUCUGACACACAAUAAGCGUUCAGUAAGUAUUAUUGAAUGAGCAAGCAAAUGAAUGAACAAGUGAAUAAAUGACAGAAGCAAUCAAAUCAGAGUUUAAUUCUUUCUUGGCCAGUGUUUGCUACUGUUGUUAUAAUUCUUCAUUUUCUACCCGCUCAUAACUCAUCCUUGAGUUAGUAUGCUUAUUAUUUGCCCUGCUCUCUGCAACCAUGAGUCUUUGUCUUUUGGGUUAGAAGACAUGCCCAUCCUGACUUCAGAUCCACCACAACCCACCCAGGGUAGACCUUUAAGGGACCAGAUGUACCGUGCUUGCUUUUUUUUUUUUUUGCUCUUUAGGGCCAUACCGCUGUAGCUCUGAUUCGACCCUAGCCUGGAAACUUCCAUAUGCCGAGAGUGUGGCCCUAAAAAAGCAAAAUAAAUAAAUAAAAUAAAAUAAAAACAUACUGAAUCAGAGUGAAUGGCUUUUGAGUAUUCCAGUUGUUUUAGAGGUAAUUGGUGAUAUCAGGGUUGAAAAUCACUGCUCUAGUUUAAUGUUCUUGCCUCCAUGUGAUUGGGGAGGAUUUGCAUAUCUUACUGUCUGGGUUGUCAGGCUGUCCUGAGGCUGCAUUCACGUUGUUCAGUGACACUAGAUCGCUUCUUUGACAAUAAUAAUAAAGGGGUGGUUGCUUAGGCUACAAAAUGGCAUAUUAUAAUAUAUAUAUCAUAUUAUAUAUGAUAUAUAUAAUAUAUUGUGUAUGUUAUAAUCUGCCAUAUUUUAACCUCUCUCUGUGUGAUCCAUUCUCCCCCUCUUUAAAAUGUACAUGUGGCAAAAAGACAAAAAACAAACAAAACAAAAAAUAAAAUGUACAUGUAUUUGAGGAGAUUUAUGCCAAAUGGUUACCAUGAUUUUCCUUGGUUGGUGGGAUUGGGGGUGAUUUUUAUUUUCUUCUCUUUUCCUUUUUCCAUUACUUUUUCCCCCAAAGGUGAACUCACAUCCAUUUUGCAAUUUGAAAACAUUAUUGAAAAAAAGAAAAGCUGGGAGUUCCCUUGUGGUGCAGUCAGUGGGUUAAGGAUCUGGCAUUGUCACUGCAGCAGCUAGGGUUGCUGCUGUGGCGUGGGUUUGAUCUCUGGCCCAGGAACUUCUACAUG